UGCCAGCCGCCGCGGUAAUACAGAGGUGGCAAGCGUUGUUCGGAUUUACUGGGCGUAAAGGGUGCGUAGGCGGCGUUGUAUGUCGGAUGUGAAAGCUCACGGCUCACCCGUGGAAUUGCAUCCGAAACUGCAGUGCUAGAGUACGGGAGAGGAGAGCGGAAUUCUCGGUGUAGCGGUGAAAUGCGUAGAUAUCGAGAGGAACACCGGUGGCGAAAGCGGCUCUCUGGACCGAUACUGACGCUGAGGCACGAAAGCUGGGGGAGCGAAGAGGAUUAGAUA
rnacentral:rRNA from 1 species